GGGCCGCUGGUUCAGCGGGAGAACGCUUUCCUGAUAAGAAAGAGGCGCUAGGUUCGACUCCUAGGCGGCCCA
rnacentral:tRNA from 1 species